rnacentral:SRP_RNA from 1 species
GGUCAGGCCCCAUACGAGAGCGUGGGUAAUUAAUCCCGCCAGGUCUGAAAAGAAGCAACGGUCGUUAUCGACCUCUGCGUUAUGGGUUUCCUGGCCACC